GCCCUUAUAGCUCAGUGGUAGAGCGUCAGUCUUGUAAACUGAAGGUUUGUAGUUCAAUCUUGCACGGGGGCA
rfam:Ipomoea nil DNA, scaffold: scaffold3025, cultivar: Tokyo-kokei standard.